UUCGGUGCUGACUGGGGUCCACUUCCCCUUCCCAGCCCCACACAAACCCCUACGCAUUCCUCUCAGCCUGACCUCAAUAAAGACGGUUCCAAUUCAUCUCAUGAAGAGCACAGCAAUGGCAAUAGUCAAAAAGAGCGGCAGCUUGAGGAUGAUUUCGACGCCUUUACAUCCUCGAAAGUGGCUGAUCUCGCGAAGCCGCUGAAGGAAGCACAGAUCCCUUAUAAGAUCCACA
rnacentral:misc_RNA from 1 species